GCCUCGUUGGCGCAGUGGGCAGCGCGUCAGUCUCAUAAUCUGAAGGUCGUGAGUUCGAGCCUCACAUGGGGCA
rfam:Danio rerio unplaced genomic contig NA687, GRCz11 reference primary assembly.